ensembl:lncRNA
CAGAGCAGCUGGUCUCAGGAAAUGAAGAAAAACCCUGAUCACCUUUUCCACAGAAACAAGAAUAAAUUACGACUAGUCUCAAUGGCUGAGAUGGAGGAGCAACACAGCGACACGUUAACCCGACUGCUGAAGUUCCCGUAUGAACUGAGCAACUCUAAAAAUCCAAGGAAAAGCUGAGUGUAUUUUAUUUAAAGCUCAGAUGGACCUUGAUGGACUAACAUGCAGGCUGCAUUCAGGACUUUGUCACACUGGUAUAUGAAGAGUGGUAACAAGAGAAAUUGUGCACACACAAUGUGUCACUUUAUGCUUGCUCUUCUCCAGCCUCUGGUGUCACUUUGUAGUAAUUAGUCUUACUAUUGUCUUAUGUGUUGUGAUUUAGGGUGUGUGCACACAAGCAGAGGUUUUUGUUUGUAACCGUAACCUCAUUUUCAGAGCCUUGUCUAACAUUUAAUGGUCGUGAAAUAUGUCAGACUUUUUCCUCUACUUAAACAGCUAAGGGCAUUUGAACACAGAGAAAAAGGUGUGCAUUAAGGAUUUUGAACUAUGAUGUUUAAGUGUUGUCACUGCUGAGGAUCCUUAUUCACUACGCUGCUGUUUACAAUUUAACUUUUCAUCAGAACGAGCACUUCUAGUUGUACUUUGCUCCUCACUGACAAAACAAGUCCAGUAAAUGCACUUUUAUCUUCAAGUUUGGGACAGUAAUCUGUCUUAAUUUAUUUUGUGCUUUAGUUAUCAUAUGUGGAAAAGUUCUGUGGUUAUCUAUCCGUCCUGUUUGCAUAAACCCAAAGUUCAGGAACAUCUUCUUUAGAUCUGUUCAGUUUUAUUCAUGUGGCACGACUUAAACAGUCAAGUAUGUUAUAUUGUAAGGUAAAGACCCCAAAGAGUUAAUCUCGGACAAAUGUUCACACAAAUAUGAAUUGCAUUCACUUCAUUAAUGAAGUGAAUGCAAUUCAGUAAUCAAAUGUGUUUGGCUAUAACGGACUACAUGUGUAUACUGUACCAUAAGUGGACAGACAUGGAUGUAAACCACACCUUAACCAUUUGGCUGAGUCAAAACUACCACAAGGCAGUGAUUCUAACUAAAAGGUACUCUGGAU